GCAGCAAGCCAUCUUAUCGCUUCCUUUUUAACCGAAGGAAGAGGAAAGUCCGGGCAGCGUAGAGCACCGUGCUACCUAACGGGUAGGCAGUUAACUGGCGACGGUUAACUGACAGCUAGUACCACAGAAAAGAUACCGCUUUUCUUCGGAAGAGUAAGGGUGAAAAGGUAGGGUAAGAGCCUACCGCUCCUUUGGUGACAAAGGAGGCAGGGCAAACCUCACGGGCUGAAAGACCAAAUAAACCAGUGGUACCCGCAAGGGUCGAAGGGCUGCUCGUCCGGUGCUGGUGGGUAGGUCGUUAGAGGCGUCGGGUGACUGGCGUCCUAGAUAAAUGAUAAGACGUUUUUGUGUAACAGCAAAGAUGACAGAACCCGGCUUAUCGGCUUGUUUUUUUC
rnacentral:RNase_P_RNA from 1 species